UCACAAGUAUUAUGAGCACUAUAAAUAACAGUAGCAAAUGCAUCUAGAUGAAUGUUUUAGUAAAUAUUUUAGGAAAUGUUUCAAGGUAUUGUAACUAAAUUAUUGAUUUUCUUAAGAUUUAUUUUGUUGUUCUUAGUGUGUAAAAGUAACUAUU
rnacentral:pre_miRNA from 1 species